AGCAAUGGCGAAAGCAGAACGGGUCAGUCCGAGUGAUUUCUGAUAAAGGAAUCUUUUGCCCGUCCUAAAAGCACGGGCGAAUAAGGGGUGGGCAAGUCUGGUGUCAGCCGCCGCGGUAAUACCAGCACCUCGAGUGGUCAGGACGAUUAUUGGGCCUAAAGCAUCCGUAGCUGGUCUUGCAAGUCUCCGGUUAAAUCCACCUGCUCAACAGAUGGGCCGCUGGAGAUACUACAAGACUAGGGAGUGGGAGAGGCAGACGGUACUCGGGGGGUAGGGGUAAAAUCCUCUGAUCCUUUGAAGACCACCAGUGGCGAAGGCGGUCUGCCAGAACACGUUCGACAGUGAGGGAUGAAAGCUGGGGGAGCAAACCGGAUUAGAUACCCGGGUAGUCCCAGCUGUAAACGAUGCAGACUCGGUGAAGCGUUGGUUUAUGGCCAAUGCUGUGCCGCAGGGAAGCCGUUAAGUCUGCCGCCUGGGAAGUACGGUCGCAAGAUUGAAACUUAAAGGAAUUGGCGGGGGAGCACCACAAGGGGUGAAGCCUGCGGUUCAAUUGGAGUCAACGCCAGGAAUCUUACCCGGGAGACAGCAGAUGAAGGUCAAGCGAAGACUUUACCAGACAGUGAGAGGUGGGCA
rnacentral:rRNA from 1 species